GGCUCCGUGGCUUAAUGGUUACGGCUUCUGUCUCCCAAGCAGAAGGUUCAGAGGGAUCAAAUCCCGGUCGGUACCU
rnacentral:tRNA from 1 species